rnacentral:rRNA from 1 species
UACGUAGGUGACCAGCGUUGUCCGGAUUUACUGGGCGUAAAGAGCGCGCAGGCGGUCCAAUAAGUCGAGUGUGAAAGCCCCCGGCUCAACUGGGGAGGGUCAUUCGAUACUGAUGGACUUGAAGGCAGGAGAGGGAAGCGGAAUUCCCGGUGUAGUGGUGAAAUGCGUAGAUAUCGGGAGGAACACCAGUGGCGAAGGCGGCUUCCUGGCCUGUUCUUGACGCUGAGGCGCGAAAGCUAGGGGAGCAAACGGG